CGUAGGUGGCAAGCGUUGUCCGGAAUUACUGGGUGUAAAGGGUGCGUAGGCGGGCAUACAAGUCAGUGGUGAAAUCUGGUCGCUCAACGAUCAAACGGCCAUUGAUACUGUUAGACUUGAAUUAUUGGGAAGUAACUAGAAUAUGUAGUGUAGCGGUGAAAUGCUUAGAUAUUACAUGGAAUACCAAUUGCGAAGGCAGGUUACUACCAAUGGAUUGACGCUGAUGGACGAAAGCGUGGGGAGCGAACAGGAUUAGAUACCCUGGUAGUCCACGCCGUAAACGAUGGAUACUAGCUGUCGGAGCAAUCUGAGUGGCUAAGCGAAAGUGAUAAGUAUCCCACUGGGGAGUACGUUCGCAAGAAUG
rnacentral:rRNA from 1 species